rnacentral:rRNA from 1 species
UACGGAGGGGGCUAGCGUUGUUCGGAAUUUACUGGGCGUAAAGCGCGCGUAGGCGGCUUUGUAAGUUAGAGGUGAAAGCCCCGGAGCUCAACUCCGGAACUGCCUUUAAGACUGCAUCGCUAGAAUUGUGGAGAGGUGGAGUGGGAAAUUUCCGAGUGUAGAGGGUAGAAAUUCGUAGAUAUUCGGAAGGAAACACCAGUGGCGAAGGGCGACUCACUGGACACAUAAUUGACGACUGAGGUGGCGAAA